rnacentral:tRNA from 1 species
UCGGGUUGCUAACUCAACGGUAGAGUACUCGGCUUUGGGCAACCCACUGUCAUAUCGAAAUUCUAUGGAUAC